rnacentral:rRNA from 1 species
GAUGAACGCUAGCGGCAGGCCUAAUACAUGCAAGCCGAACGGCAAGUUGAGUAGCAAUACUUGACCUAGAGUGGCGUAAGGGUGCGUAACACGUAUGCAAUCUACCCGCAACAGGAGGAUAGCUCCCCGAAAGGGGAAUUAACCUCCAUGGGAUCUUUAGGUGGCAUCACUGGAAAGAUUAAACCGCAAGGGGUUGUGGAUGAGCAUGCGCAUGAUUAGUUAGNGGCGGGUAACGGCCCACCAAGACGAUGAUCA